UACGUAGGGUGCGAGCGUUGUCCGGAGUUACUGGGCGUAAAGCGCACGCAGGCGGUCUGCUAAGUUUGGAGUGACAGUUGGUGGCUCAACCACCAAAGUGCUUUGAAAACUGACAGACUUGAGGGCUUCAGAGGGACACGGAAUUCCGGGUGGAGUGGUGAAAUGCGUAGAGAUCCGGAGGAACACCGAAGGCGAAGGCAGUGUCCUGGGGAGUACCUGACGCUCAGGUGCGAAAGCUAGGGGAGCGAACGGG
rnacentral:rRNA from 1 species